GGACUACCAGGGUAUCUAAUCCUGUUUGCUCCCCACGCUUUCGUGCCUGAGCGUCAAUCUCAGCCCAGGGGGCUGCCUUCGCCAUCGGUGUUCCGCCACAUCUCUACGCAUUUCACUGCUACACGUGGCAUUCCACCCCCCUCUGCCAGAUUCUGAGUCCUCUAGUUUCCACUGCAAUUCCCAGGUUAAGCCCGGGGCUUUCACAGCGGACACAAAGAACCGCCUACGCACGCUUUACGCCCAGUAAUUCCGAUUAACGCUCGCACCCUACGUAUUACCGCGGCUGCUGGCAC
rnacentral:rRNA from 2 species